AUGACUAACUGGUCGCUAAAUGUUUGGAGCUUGCAUAUGGAGGUGGUUGUUGUGGGAUGCGAACUGAUAUGUCCCGUAUUUAAUAAAUAAACUUUAUGAACUUAUUAAACCUACGUUUUGGACUUUAAACUUAUGAACUAUGGACUAUGUUUUAAACUUACGUUUUAUGCUUCCGCUGUUUAACUAAAAUCGGUUUACUUCCUUUUGGUCACCAAUCGUAUUGUGUUUGGUUU
rnacentral:lncRNA from 1 species